ACUGGGGUGGGGUAGUGGUAACCUUAACGCUUCCCAAGCGUUAGCGCCGGGUUCGAUUCCCGGUCCCAGUA